UAGCUACAGGCUUAACACAUGCAAGUCGAGGGGCAGCAUGGUCUUAGCUUGCUAAGGCCGAUGGCGACCGGCGCACGGGUGAGUAACACGUAUCCAACCUGCCGUCUACUCUUGGACAGCCUUCUGAAAGGAAGAUUAAUACAAGAUGGCAUCAUGAGUCCACAUGUUCACAUGAUUAAAGGUAUUCCGGUAGACGAUGGGGAUGCGUUCCAUUAGAUAGUAGGCGGGGUAACGGCCCACCUAGUCUUCGAUGGAUAGGGGUUCUGAGAGGAAGGUCCCCCACAUUGGAACUGAGACACGGUCCAAACUCCUACGGGAGGCAGCAGUGAGGAAUAUUGGUCAAUGGGCGAGAGCCUGAACCAGCCAAGUAGCGUGAAGGAUGACUGCCCUAUGGGUUGUAAACUUCUUUUAUAAAGGAAUAAAGUCGGGUAUGCAUACCCGUUUGCAUGUACUUUAUGAAUAAGGAUCGGCUAACUCCGUGCCAGCAGCCGCGGUAAUACGGAGGAUCCGAGCGUUAUCCGGAUUUAUUGGGUUUAAAGGGAGCGUAGAUGGAUGUUUAAGUCAGUUGUGAAAGUUUGCGGCUCAACCGUAAAAUUGCAGUUGAUACUGGAUAUCUUGAGUGCAGUUGAGGCAGGCGGAAUUCGUGGUGUAGCGGUGAAAUGCUUAGAUAUCACGAAGAACUCCGAUUGCGAAGGCAGCCUGCUAAGCUGCAACUGACAUUGAGGCUCGAAAGUGUGGGUAUCAAACAGGAUUAGAUACCCUGGUAGUCCACACGGUAAACGAUGAAUACUCGCUGUUUGCGAUAUACGGCAAGCGGCCAAGCGAAAGCGUUAAGUAUUCCACCUGGGGAGUACGCCGGCAACGGUGAAACUCAAAGGAAUUGACGGGGGCCCGCACAAGCGGAGGAACAUGUGGUUUAAUUCGAUGAUACGCGAGGAACCUUACCCGGGCUUAAAUUGCAGAUGAAUUACGGUGAAAGCCGUAAGCCGCAAGGCAUCUGUGAAGGUGCUGCAUGGUUGUCGUCAGCUCGUGCCGUGAGGUGUCGGCUUAAGUGCCAUAACGAGCGCAACCCUUGUUGUCAGUUACUAACAGGUUCCGCUGAGGACUCUGACAAGACUGCCAUCGUAAGAUGUGAGGAAGGUGGGGAUGACGUCAAAUCAGCACGGCCCUUACGUCCGGGGCUACACACGUGUUACAAUGGGGGGUACAGAGGGCCGCUACCACGCGAGUGGAUGCCAAUCCCCAAAACCUCUCUCAGUUCGGACUGGAGUCUGCAACCCGACUCCACGAAGCUGGAUUCGCUAGUAAUCGCGCAUCAGCCACGGCGCGGUGAAUACGUUCCCGGGCCUUGUACACACCGCCCGUCAAGCCAUGGGAGCCGGGGGUACCUGAAGUGCGUAACCGCGAGGAGCGCCCUAGGGUAAAACUGGUGACUGGGGCUAAGUCAUAAC
rnacentral:rRNA from 1 species